UACGGAGGGGGCUAGCGUUGCUCGGAAUUACUGGGCGUAAAGGGCGCGUAGGCGGCACUGUUAGUCAGGCGUGAAAGUCCUGGGCUCAACCUGGGAACUGCGCUUGAUACGGCAGAGCUAGAGGAUGGAAGAGGGUCGCGGAAUUCCCAGUGUAGAGGUGAAAUUCGUAGAUAUUGGGAAGAACACCGGUGGCGAAGGCGGCGACCUGGUCCAUUACUGACGCUGAGGCGCGACAGCGUGGGGAGCAAACAGG
rnacentral:rRNA from 1 species